AGGAGCAACAGCCCCAGUGGCGGGGCCAGCUCUGCAGCCCUGGAGUCAGCCCCCGCAGUAACUCCGGAGCUCUCUGUCUGCAGGGCCUGGAGGCUCCGGGGCGGG
rnacentral:pre_miRNA from 1 species